AGAGCCGAUCGUACUCACGGUGCUGCUGUGCUCCACACUCUUAAACUCCGCUUGCCCUACAGAGUCCUUCUGGAACUGCUGAAGGGCAUUUCGCUUUUUGCCCACAAAAGACGCAAGCACCAUAAGCCAGGCAGAGCUCUUCUGUUGAGGUGGACACCCGCAGCGAAAGCACCACAUCAUCUGAGGGCGCCUCCUGUACCCUGCUUAUCCACAGCCCCGUCGAGCUCAAGAGAGGCUGGAGGAGGCAGAAGAGACACCUCUUCUUGUUCAACGAUUUGCUGCUCAUGUCCAAUACCAAGUACAAAAAAAAUUUUAAGAAAAAAAAUAAAAUACCACUGAACACCGUGUGGACUGCUAACUGUAUGGACAAAGUGGGGGAUGCCAACAUCCGUGCCGGGAGGUCCUUCGUCGUGGGCUGGCCCACGGUGAACUUUGUGGCCACCUUCAGGUAAGACCGACAGAUUGGUCUUGUAUUUACAUGGGUUAAAAAGGAGAACAUUUUAAUCUGAUUGUACAUCAAGCCGGUGACUCACUUUCUGACCUCCUGUAAUGACACUUGUUUGCCUUAUACUUUCCUCAAAAAGGUAUGUACAAAUAUGAGCAAGUAGAUAACCUAGAGUGGGAACUAUCGAGUAAUUUCCUUUGG